UACAGAGGUCUCAAGCGUUGUUCGGAUUCAUUGGGCGUAAAGGGUGCGUAGGCGGCGCGGUAAGUCGGGUGUGAAAUCUUGGAGCUUAACUCCGAAACUGCAUUUGAUACUGCCUUGCUUGAGGACUGGAGAGGAGACUGGAAUUCACGGUGUAGCAGUGAAAUGCGUAGAGAUCGUGAGGAAGACCAGUGGCGAAGGCGGGUCUCUGGACAGUUCCUGACACUGAUGCACGAAGGCCAGGGGAGCAAACGGG
rnacentral:rRNA from 1 species